rnacentral:rRNA from 1 species
GUGGGGAAUUUUGGACAAUGGGCGCAAGCCUGAUCCAGCCAUGCCGCGUGCAGGAUGAAGGCCUUCGGGUUGUAAACUGCUUUUGUACGGAACGAAAAAGCUCUCUCUAAUACAGGGGGUGAAUGACGGUACCGUAAGAAUAAGCACCGGCUAACUACGUGCCAGCAGCCGCGGUAAUACGUAGGGUGCAAGCGUUAAUCGGAAUUACUGGGCGUAAAGCGUGCGCAGGCGGUUUUGUAAGACAGGCGUGAAAUCCCCGGGCUCAACCUGGGAAUUGCGCUUGUGACUGCAAGGCUGGAGUGCGGCAGAGGGGGAUGGAAUUCCGCGUGUAGCAAUGAAAUGCGUAGAUAUGCGGAGGAACACCGAUGGCGAAGGCAAUCCCCUGGGCCUGCACUGACGCUCAUGCACGAAAGCGUGGGGAGCAAACAGGAUUAGAUACCCCUGUAGUCC